rnacentral:rRNA from 1 species
AUACGUAGGUGGCAAGCGUUGUCCGGAUUUACUGGGCGUAAAGGAUGCGUAGGCGGAUAUUUAAGUGAGAUGUGAAAAUCCCGGGCUUAACUUGGGAACUGCAUUUCAAACUGGGUAUCUAGAGUGCAGGAGAGGAAAGCGGAAUUCCUAGUGUAGCGGUGAAAUGCGUAGAGAUUAGGAAGAACACCAGUGGCGAAGGCGGCUUUCUGGACUGUAACUGACGCUGAGGCAUGAAAGCGUGGGGAGCAAACAGGAUUAGAUACCCUGGUAGUCCACGCCGUAAACGAUGGAUACUAGGUGUAGGAGGUAUCGACCCCUUCGGUGCCGGAGUUAACACAAUAAGUAUCCCACCUGGGGAGUACGGCCGCAAGGUUGAA